CUGGGAUGAGGCACAAGAAACUAACAUUCACCGAGGGCCUGCUGAGCGUUCUCACUAGGUUUCAAUACAGGGUUACGGACCAGAGUUCUUGGCCUCUUUAAUCAAUAGAAACUGAUCAGAGGCCAGGAAGAAACUCAGUACACCUGAGGCUGACACAACAUGGUCAAUCAACUAUACUUCAAGUUUAAAAAAGGAAGAUGCAAACCGCUGUCCUGGCCGGGGGUGGGAGGAUCCGCCCGGCUGAGAGCCAGGAAGGGGCACACCAUACACCCAGAAGGGUUCCCUGGAAGGACAGGUGACGGGUGGGCAGGGCCCAGCUCAGCCGUGGGAGAAGAAGGGCCCACGCGGCUCACACCACAGAGGAGGUUCUGGGAACAGAAACCACAGUCAGGCUCCCUGUGAUCCAGAACAGCACCAGCUGCAGCAAAAAAUGAGCAUCAGGGGCUUCCCUGAUGGUCCAGUGGCUAAGAACCGACCUUCCAAUGCAGGGGACACGGGUUUGAUCCCUGAUCACAGGCUUCCCAGAAACGCAAGACCAACUCCGGCAGGGAACUCACCCAGGAAUUCAACUCACUGCUGGGCCUGCUACAAUACU